AGCCUUCUGUAUCCGUGAUGAGAUUUCGUCACACACCAGACCACAAGGGCUGAUGAGACUCCCAAUAUAAGUGAGAUAAGUGAGGCG
rfam:Schistosoma margrebowiei strain Zambia genome assembly, scaffold: SMRZ_scaffold0000537